rnacentral:piRNA from 1 species
UAGUGGAGGUAACGUGUUCGUGUCCUCUCUA